UACGUAGGCAGCAAGCGUUGUUCGGAAUUACUGGGCGUAAAGAGUGUGUAGGCGGUGCUCUAAGUUUGGUGUGAAAUCUCCCGGCUCAACUGGGAGGGUGCGCCGAAAACUGGAAUGCUUGAACAUGGGAGAGGAAAGCGGAAUUCCUGGUGUAGCGGUGAAAUGCGUAGAUAUCAGGAGGAACACCGACGGCGUAGGCAGCGCCCUGGCUGUGAAUAAAGCUGACACUGAGGCACGAAAGCUGGGGGAGCAAACAGG
rnacentral:rRNA from 1 species